rnacentral:rRNA from 1 species
GUCUAUAGCCAUACCACUCUGAAUGUGCCCCAUCUCUGAUCUCUAAAGCAAAGAAGGUCUGGCCUAGUUAGUAUUUGGAAGGGAGAAAAUUAUGAGGCCACAUCCUAAUGAGAGUACAUGAAGAUAUCCACA